GAUUGUUCCACUUAAUAUGAACAAAGCUGCUAUAUACAUGAAAUACAGUUGGUGAAGCAGGUAUAACAAUAUCUUGAGUACUCAUUUUGCCAAUAACGAAAUGGAAAACUGUGCAAUAUGUCUUGAAGAAAUUCGAAAUCCGUGUAUCUGUGUACCAUGUGGACACAGUUUUUGCGACCCUUGUAUAAGACUGUGGAAGGAAGAUACAUGCCCAUGUUGUAGAGUUAGGAUAAGGACAUACAUUCAAGAUACCAGAAGACCUAAUGAUGAAGAACAGGACCUAUUUUUGAAAUAUUUCUUGCAUGUAGGCCUUGUCAUGGUUGCUUUCGGACUUGUUCUUUACAUAAUAUACCCCAUAUCUUAUUUUAUUUUAUCAUACAUAGUAUACCCCUCUGUUAUGUACAUGUAAGAGUUUAUUUUUGCUUAAUUUGGUGCUGCUUAGGCUGACAAGACCCGCUAUUUCUACGGUAGUAGAGACAAGUAUUUGGUACCCCUCUCUGUCCGCCAUUUUGUCACUGCCAUUAAAUCAUUCAUAUAAUUAGGUAUAAUUAUACAUUGUAUAUAUACGAGGGUCGUUCAAUAAAUAAUGCAAAGUGCCAUCUAAAAUUA